GCGGAUGUAGCUCAGUUGGUUAGAGCGCUUGCUUGUCACGCAAGAGGUCGCGGGUUCAAGUCCCGUCAUUCGCGCCA
rnacentral:tRNA from 1 species